UGGGAGUUUAAGGUAAAGAAGUAAGAGUAGAUGCGAUUGGGAGAGAUGAGAAGGACAGUAGGAAUCAAGGAACCUCCUGUCAACCCCUUGUGUCUGAUAUGUUGUGUAAGAGUUUUUGACUGUCUUCAUUUAUCAAAAUUCUGUCUAUGUAUUGUAAUCUUCUGGUUUCAUUUUUUUAUUGUCUAUGCAAGAGGUAUGACUUCUCGUUUUUCUAGUAUCCAUAUCAAUGUUAAUGAAUAAUCUUUUAAAUCGUAGAAAAAUCAAUUGUUUCAGAUGUAUGGGGCUAAUUAUUGUGUUUCCUGUGUGAAUACCAUUAUGGAGUAGAU
rnacentral:lncRNA from 1 species